ACAUCAGUUCUGGUUUUUCUUGUCUCAAGUUCACGUGUAAUCCGAAGAAUUGAUAAUGGGAGAGGAGAAAUACAAAAAAAUGUUAGAAAAACUCACUCCGGAACAGAAGGUCAUCUGGCAACAAGAAAAAGGCAAAGCAGAACUUGAACUUGAAUAAAUACCAAAUCCUUGAAUUGAAGUUUGAGCAUGUGGAAAACACUUUAGCUCAAGCCAAUUGGGAUAAGUUCAAAAAGUGCAACCUGAUGGAUGUUCGAAGUUGUAUCCACUAUUUUGAUAGAAACAAUGUAAAUUCCAACAUCUUUGAAAGAACCAAACGGUUUGAAAUGUUUGCUACAGACGAACGACGAAAUAUAAAUAUACAAAAAUGGGUAUUAUCUCCAGCUACUUUUAGAAAUAUAUUCUCUCUGUUCUAUGACAAACUAUGUAAGUCGGCACAUCCUUUAUUUCUUUCAAAAAAUAUUUUAGUAAUAAAUGAGGAUGCACUGGAGCCAAGUCAAUUUAAAAUUUUGGGAUUUUUGUGGGAGGAAGUGCCGUUGCCAAAGAACAAUCUACAUGUACAACGAAAAGAUAAAAUGUGUAAUCUGACUGAAAUGUAUAAAAAGGAAUAAAAAUGUUAUUUUGAAAUUA